CCCAGACUCCUACGGGAGGCAGCAGUGAGGAAUAUUGGUCAAUGGGCGAGAGCCUGAACCAGCCAAGUCGCGUGAGGGAGUACUGCCCUAUGGGCUGUAAACCUCUUUUGUCGGGGAGCAAAAGCCGGACGUGUCCGGCUGUGAGAGUACCCGAAGAAAAAGCAUCGGCUAACUCCGUGCCAGCAGCCGCGGUAAUACGGAGGAUGCGAGCGUUAUCCGGAUUUACUGGGUGUAAAGGGCGUGUAGCCGGGCCGGCAAGUCAGAUGUGAAAUCCCAAGGCUCAACCUUGGAACUGCAUUUGAAACUGUUGGUCUUGAGUAUCGGAGAGGCAGGCGGAAUUCCUAGUGUAGCGGUGAAAUGCGUAGAUAUUAGGAGGAACACCAGUGGCGAAGGCGGCCUACUGGACGGCAACUGACGCUGAGGCUCGAAAGCGUGGGGAGCAAACAGGAUUAGAUACCCCGGUACAG
rnacentral:rRNA from 1 species